rnacentral:rRNA from 1 species
UACGUAGGGGGGCUAGCGUUGUCCGGAUUUAUUGGGCGUAAAGAGCGUGUAGGCGGCCAGGUAGGUCUGCUGUGAAAACUCGAGGCUCAACCUCGAGACGUCGGUUGAAACCGUCUGGCUAGAGUCCGGAAGAGGAGAGUGGAAUUCCCGGUGUAGCGGUGAAAUGCGCAGAUAUCGGGAAGAACACCCGUGGCGAAGGCGGCUCUCUGGGACGGUACUGACGCUGAGACGCGAAAGCGUGGGGAGCGAACAGG